GACGAACGCUGGCGGCGUGCUUAACACAUGCAAGUCGAGCGGAAAGGCUCCUUCGGGGGUACUCGAGCGGCGAACGGGUGAGUAACACGUGAGUAAUCUGCCCUGGACUCUGGGAUAGCCACCGGAAACGGUGAUUAAUACCGGAUAUGACCACUUUAGGCAUCUGAGGUGGGGGAAAGUUUUUCGGUCCAGGAUGUGCUCGCGGCCUAUCAGCUUGUUGGUGAGGUAAUGGCUCACCAAGGCUUUGACGGGUAGCCGGCCUGAGAGGGUGACCGGUCACACUGGGACUGAGACACGGCCCAGACUCCUACGGGAGGCAGCAGUGGGGAACAUUGGACAAUGGGCGGAAGCCUGAUCCAGCAACGCCGCGUGAGGGAUGACGGCCUUCGGGUUGUAAACCUCUUUCAGUACCGACGAAGCGAAAGUGACGGUAGGUACAGAAGAAGGACCGGCCAACUACGUGCCAGCCGCCGCAGUAAGAC
rnacentral:rRNA from 1 species